GGAAUUCGCCCUUAGAGUUUGAUCCUGGCUCAGGACGAACGCUGGCGGCGUGCCUAACACAUGCAAGUCGAGCGAGGUGCUUAUGAUGAAAUCUUCGGAUUGAUUCAUAAACCACUUAGCGGCGGACUGGUGAGUAACACGUAAGCAACCUGCCUAUCAGAGGGGAACAACAGUUAGAAAUGACUGCUAAUACCGCAUAUGCCUCAAUCUUCGCAUGGAGAAAGAGGGAAAGAAGUAAUUCGCUGAUAGAUGGGCUUGCGUCUGAUUAGAUAGUUGGUAAGGUAAUGGCUUACCAAGUCGACGAUCAGUAGCCGGACUGAGAGGUUGAACGGCCACAUUGGGACUGAGACACGGCCCAGACUCCUACGGGAGGCAGCAGUAGGGAAUAUUGCACAAUGGGGGAAACCCUGAUGCAGCCAUGCCGCGUGUGUGAAGAAGGCCUUCGGGUUGUAAAGCACUUUCGGAGGGGAGGAACAAAUGACGUUACCCUCAGAAGAAGCACCGGCUAACUCCGUGCCAGCGGCCGCGGUAAUACGGAGGGUGCAAGCGUUAAUCNGAAAUAACUGGGCGUAAAGGGCAUGCCGGCGGUCAGACAAGUAGGAUGUGAAAUCUUGGGGCUCAACCUCAGAACUGCAUUUCUAACUGUUCAACUAGAGUAUUGCGGGGGGAAACGGAAAUUUCAGGGUGUAGCGGUGGGAUUGCGUAAAUUUCUGAAAAAACCCCUAAGGGGGAAGGGCGGUCUCCUGGG
rnacentral:rRNA from 1 species